UACGUAGGGUCCGAGCGUUGUCCGGAAUUAUUGGGCGUAAAGAGCUCGUAGGCGGUCUGUUGCGUCGGUUGUGAAAACCUGGGGCUCAACUCCAGGCCUGCAAUCGAUACGGGCAGACUAGAGUUCGGUAGGGGAGACUGGAAUUCCUGGUGUAGCGGUGAAAUGCGCAGAUAUCAGGAGGAACACCGGUGGCGAAGGCGGCGACCUGGGUCGAUACUGACGCUGAUGCGCGAAAGCGUGGGGAGCAAACAGG
rnacentral:rRNA from 1 species